rnacentral:rRNA from 1 species
UACGGAGGGUGCAAGCGUUAAUCGGAAUUACUGGGCGUAAAGCGCACGCAGGCGGUCUGUCAAGUCGGAUGCGAAAUCCCCGGGCUCAACCUGGGAACUGCAUCUGAUACUGGCAAGCUUGAGUCUCGUAGAGGGGGGUAGAACUCCAGGUGUAGCGGUGAAAUGCGUAGAGAUCUGGAGGAAUACCGGUGGCGAAGGCGGCCCCCUGGACAAAGACUGACGCUCAGGUGCGAAAGCGUGGGGAGCAAACAGGAUUAGAUACCCUGGUAGUCCACGCCGUAAACGAUGUCGAUUUGGAGGUUGUGCCCUUGAGGCGUGGCUUCCGGAGCUAACGCGUUAAAUCGACCGCCUGGGGAGUACGGCCGCAAGGUUAAA